rnacentral:lncRNA from 1 species
UUCCAGCACUUUGGGAGGCCGAGGCGGGCAGAUCACCUGAGGUCAGAAGUUCGAGACCGGCCUGUCCAACAUGGCAAAACCCCAUCUCUACUAAAAAUACAAAAAAUUAGCCAGGCAUGGUGGCAAGCGCCAGUAUUCCCAGCUACUUGGGACGCUGAGGUAGGAGAAUCACUUGAACCCAGGAGGCAGAGUGAGCCGAGAUCGCGCCACUGCACUCCAGCCUGGGCGACAGAGCGAGACUCCGUCUCAAAAAAAAAAAAAAAAGAAAAGGGGAAUAAUAGCACUAUAUCACAGCUUUAUCUUGGAAAACUAAAUGAGACCAUCGUAAAAGCAGUCGGUAAACUAUAAAUCACUGUGUAAAGUGUAACGCGCCACAUUUUUCAGGUUAUAUCAGGCAAAUGCCCAAUUUCGUUUAGGGUACAAAAUACCGGGAGUGGGGAUGGGGCAGUGUUCACGUCUUGAAAUAGAGAAAAGAUCCUUCUUUGCAGCUAUCUGUUUAGGUAUGCUUCACAGCACCCAGGAAACCUGCCAUUCUUAGAGUCAUCUGCUUUUGUUCAUCCUGACAAAGAACAGAAUAAGAGGAAAUCGUCGUCAGUCAAUAAACACCACAUAUUCAAUUAUUCAUUCCUUUGAAGAACAUCUAUUAAUCACUGAGUUGUGCCAGGCAUUACACUGAGCUAAGUGCUUGGCACACAGAGAUGAAUGAAUAUCAACCUCUAAAUAUAUAAACAUUUAGAAAAAAGUCUGGAAGGAUAUCUACCAAAAGGUCCUACCUUUUUUCCUUUCUUCCUCCCCUUAUUCCUUUCUUCCUUCUUUCCUUAAGUCAAAGUUAAUUUCACAAAACUUUAAGUCCUGAGUCAAGGUAACUUGAGGCGGUCAGCCCUGUGGCUCAAUGGCAUCUGCUCAGCCAUCCUCAGGCAACCUCCCUUUCAAAGCCAAGAUGCACACGAAAACAUGACACUGACGAGCAGAAGCAGCAUGCUCUGUCUUCCUAUGGGGCCCUUUUUAUGUUUAAGGAGACAUUUUCAAGUAGGUUGAAAAAUCCCAUUAUGUCUCCUUCAUCUGAACUGGGUCACAUGUACUUCCUGAGUCACUGGUAAAGGAAAUGGUAUCAGUGGCCUGGACCAGUGGCCCUCAAAUUGUGCUAUGGGGAUCCCCU